GGUGGAUCCUGUUACUGUGGCAACAGGACAGACUUAUGAAAGAGAGAGCAUUCAGAGGUGGCUAAAUUCUAAUCAUAGGACCUGCCCAAAGACUGGACAANNNNNNNNNGGAUCACUUUUCUUUAGCACCCAAUUUUGCAAUCAGGAACCUUAUAUUACAAUGGUGUGAAGAAAAUAAUUUUGAACUGCCUAAAAAUGAUGCUUGCGUGGGAUGUGCUGGAUCUAAUGCUGAACUUAUAGAGCAAAUCACUUGCUUGGUUCAAAAUCUGUUUUGCACUGAGCUUGAUGUGAAGAGAGAGGCCA
rnacentral:misc_RNA from 1 species